rnacentral:rRNA from 1 species
GACGAACGCUGGCGGCGUGCUUAACACAUGCAAGUCGAACGGAAAGGCCUCUUUCGGGGGGUACUCGAGUGGCGAACGGGUGAGUAACACGUGAGUAACCUGCCCUUGACUUUGGGAUAACUUCAGGAAACUGGGGCUAAUACCGGAUAGGAGCUCCUGCUGCAUGGUGGGGGUUGGAAAGUUUCGGCGGUUGGGGAUGGACUCGCGGCUUAUCAGCUUGUUGGUGGGGUAGUGGCUUACCAAGGCUUUGACGGGUAGCCGGCCUGAGAGGGUGACCGGCCACAUUGGGACUGAGAUACGGCCCAGACUCCUACGGGAGGCAGCAGUGGGGAAUAUUACACAAGGGGUGGAAGCCUGAUGCAGCAACGCCGUGUGCGGGAUGACGGCCUUCGGGUUGUAAACCGCUUUCGCUCAUGACGAAGCUUUGUGUGACGGUAGUGGGUAAAGAAGCACCGGCUAACUACGUG